rnacentral:rRNA from 1 species
UACAGAGGUCUCAAGCGUUGUUCGGAUUCAUUGGGCGUAAAGGGUGCGUAGGCGGCGCGGUAAGUCGGGUGUGAAAUCUCGGAGCUUAACUCCGAAACUGCAUUCGAUACUGCCGUGCUUGAGGACUGGAGAGGAGACUGGAAUUUACGGUGUAGCGGUGAAAUGCGUAGAUAUCGUAAGGAAGACCAGUGGCGAAGGCGGGUCUCUGGACAAUUCCUGACGCUGAGGCGCGAAAGCGUGGGGAGCAAACGGG